GAAAGCGUGGGGAGCGAACAGGAUUAGAUACCCUGGUAGUCCACGCCGUAAACGGUGGAUGCUGGAUGUGGGGCCCGUUCCACGGGUUCCGUGUCGGAGCUAACGCGUUAAGCAUCCCGCCUGGGGAGUACGGCCGCAAGGCUAAAACUCAAAGAAAUUGACGGGGGCCCGCACAAGCGGCGGAGCAUGCGGAUUAAUUCGAUGCAACGCGAAGAACCUUACCUGGGCUUGACAUGUUCCCGACGGUCGUAGAGAUACGGCUUCCCUUCGGGGCGGGUUCACAGGUGGUGCAUGGUCGUCGUCAGCUCGUGUCGUGAGAUGUUGGGUUAAGUCCCGCAACGAGCGCAACCCUCGCCCCGUGUUGCCAGCGGAUUAUGCCGGGAACUCACGGGGGACCGCCGGGGUUAACUCGGAGGAAGGUGGGGAUGACGUCAGAUCAUCAUGCCCCUUACGUCCAGGGCUUCACGCAUGCUACAAUGGCCGGUACAACGGGAUGCGACGCGGCGACGCGGAGCGGAUCCCUGAAAACCGGUCUCAGUUCGGAUCGCAGUCUGCAACUCGACUGCGUGAAGGCGGAGUCGCUAGUAAUCGCGAAUCAGCAACGUCGCGGUGAAUGCGUUCCCGGGCCUUGUACACACCGCCCGUCAAGUCAUGAAAGUGGGCAGCACCCGAAGCCGGUGGCCUAACCCCUUGUGGGAUGGAGCCGUCUAAGGUGAGGCUCGUGAUUGGGACUAAGUCGUAACAA
rnacentral:rRNA from 1 species